rnacentral:hammerhead_ribozyme from 1 species
AUCCAGCUGACGGGUCCCAAAUACGACGAAACGUGAGUCCUGAAU